rnacentral:misc_RNA from 1 species
GAUGAAGAACGUAGCGAAACGCGAUAAGUAAUGUGAAUUACAGAAUUCAGUGAAUCAUCGAAUCUUUGAACGCACAUUGCGCCCGCCAGUAUUCUGGCGGGCAUGCCUGUUCGAGCGUCAUUUCAACCAUCAAGCCCCCCGGCUUGUGUUGGGGACCUGCGGCUGCCGCAGGCCCUGAAAAGCAGUGGCGGGCUCGCUGUCACACCGAGCGUAGUAGAUCUCAUCUCGCUCAGGGCGUGCUGCGGGUUCCGGCCGUUAAACCACCUUCAUAACCCAAGGUUGACCUCGGAUCAGGUAGGAAGACCCGCUGAACUUAAGCAUAUCAAUAAGCGGAGGA